rnacentral:rRNA from 2 species
UUAGGCGACGAAGUGGUUGAUACCAUGCUUCCAAGAAAAGCUCCUAAGCUUCAGAUAACUGGGAACCGUACCCCAAACCGACACAGGUGGUUAGGUAGAGAAUACCAAGGCGCUUGAGAGAACUCGGGUGAAGGAACUAGGCAAAAUGGCACCGUAACUUCGGGAGAAGGUGCGCCGGCGAGGGUCAAGGACUUGCUCCGUAAGCCCAUGCCGGUCGAAGAUACCAGGCCGCUGCGACUGUUUAUUAAAAACACAGCACUCUGCAAACACGAAAGUGGACGUAUAGGGUGUGACGCCUGCCCGGUGCCGGAAGGUUAAUUGAUGGGGUUAGCGCAAGCGAAGCUCUUGAUCGAAGCCCCGGUAAACGGCGGCCGUAACUAUAACGGUCCUAAGGUAGCGAAAUUCCUUGUCGGGUAAGUUCCGACCUGCACGAAUGGCGUAACGAUGGCGGCGCUGUCUCCACCCGAGACUCAGUGAAAUUGAAAUCGCUGUGAAGAUGCAGUGUAUCCGCGGCUAGACGGAAAGACCCCGUGAACCUUUACUAUAGCUUUGCACUGGACUUUGAAUUUGCUUGUGUAGGAUAGGUGGGAGGCUUUGAAGUGGGGACGCCAGUUCUCAUGGAGCCAUCCUUGAAAUACCACCCUGGCAACUUUGAGGUUCUAACUCAGGUCCGUUAUCCGGAUCGAGGACAGUGUAUGGUGGGUAGUUUGACUGGGGCGGUCUCCUCCCAAAGAGUAACGGAGGAGUACGAAGGUGCGCUCAGACCGGUCGGAAAUCGGUCGUAGAGUAUAAAGGCAAAAGCGCGCUUGACUGCGAGACAAACACGUCGAGCAGGUACGAAAGUAGGUCUUAGUGAUCCGGUGGUUCUGUAUGGAAGGGCCAUCGCUCAACGGAUAAAAGGUACUCCGGGGAUAACAGGCUGAUACCGCCCAAGAGUUCAUAUCGACGGCGGUGUUUGGCACCUCGAUGUCGGCUCAUCACAUCCUGGGGCUGAAGCCGGUCCCAAGGGUAUGGCUGUUCGCCAUUUAAAGUGGUACGCGAGCUGGGUUUAGAACGUCGUGAGACAGUUCGGUCCCUAUCUGCCGUGGACGUUUGAGAUUUGAGAGGGGCUGCUCCUAGUACGAGAGGACCGGAGUGGACGAACCUCUGGUGUUCCGGUUGUCACGCCAGUGGCAUUGCCGGGUAGCUAUGUUCGGAAGAGAUAACCGCUGAAAGCAUCUAAGCGGGAAACUUGCCUCAAGAUGAGAUCUCACUGGGAUCUUGAAUCCCCUAAAGGGCCGUCGAAGACUACGACGUUGAUAGGUUGGGUGUGUAAGCGCUGUGAGGCGUUGAGCUAACCAAUACUAAUUGCCCGUGAGGCUUGACCAUAUAACACCCAAGCAAUU